UGGGGAAUUUUGCACAAUGGGCGCAAGCCUGAUGCAGCGACGCCGCGUGAGGGAUGAAGGCCUUCGGGUUGUAAACCUUUUUCGCUCAUGGUCAAGCCGCAGCUUUGGGUUGUGGUGAGGGUAGUGGGUAAAGAAGCGCCGGCUAACUACGUGCCAGCAGCCGCGGUAAUACGUAGGGCGCGAGCGUUGUCCGGAAUUAUUGGGCGUAAAGGGCUUGUAGGCGGUUGGCCGCGUCUGCCGUGAAAACCUCUGGCUUAACUGGGGGCGUGCGGUGGGUACGGGUUGACUUGAGUGCGGUAGGGGAGACUGGAAUUCCUGGUGUAGCGGUGGAAUGCGCAGAUAUCAGGAGGAACACCGGUGGCGAAGGCGGGUCUCUGGGCCGUUACUGACGCUGAGGAGCGAAAGCGUGGGGAGCGAACAGG
rnacentral:rRNA from 1 species